ACCAUGACCUGUGGGCCAGAGCGUGAUUAACGGCCAGGAAUGGCUCUGAUGCCCUAUUCCAGUGCUGUAGAUGAUCGUUCCUCGCCAGUUCUAACCUGGCUAGGGUGGCUCAUGGGUUGUCUGACAGGU
rnacentral:snoRNA from 1 species